rnacentral:rRNA from 1 species
GUACGGGAGGCAGCAGUGGGGAAUAUUGGACAAUGGGGGCAACCCUGAUCCAGCAAUGCCGUGUGAGUGAUGAAGGCCUUAGGGUUGUAAAGCUCUUUCGACGGGGAAGAUGAUGACGGUACCCGUAGAAGAAGCCCCGGCUAACUUCGUGCCAGCAGCCGCGGUAAUACGAAGGGGGCUAGCGUUGUUCGGAUUUACUGGGCGUAAAGGGCGCGUAGGCGGUGCAAUAAGUCAGGCGUGAAAGCCCCGGGCUCAACCCGGGAAUUGCGCUUGAUACUGUUGCGCUUGAAUCCAGGAGAGGAUGGCGGAAUUCCCAGUGUAGAGGUGAAAUUCGUAGAUAUUGGGAAGAACACCAGUGGCGAAGGCGGCCAUCUGGCCUGGAAUUGACGCUGAGGCGCGAAAGCGUGGGGAGCAAACAGGAUUAGAUACCCCGGUAGUCCU